rnacentral:rRNA from 1 species
UACGUAGGGAGCAAACGUUGUUCGGAAUCACUGGGCGUAAAGGGCGCGUAGGCGGCUUGGUAAGUAGGGGGUGAAAUCUUGCGGCUCAACUGCAAGGCUGCCUCCUAAACUGUCAGGCUCGAGCAGAGUAGAGGCAGGUGGAAUUCCCGGUGUAGCGGUGAAAUGCGUAGAUAUCAGGAGGAAUACCGGCGGCGAAGGCGGCCCUCUGGAUCGUUGCUGACGCUGAGACGCGAAAGCGUGGGGAGCAAACAGG